GGGGUGGCUCGGGGGGCGGGGGAUGCUGGGCUGGGACUCCUGAGCGCCCGGGGCUAGGGCCUGGGGAGCGGCCGGGGACCCCAAGUUGGGUCUGCGGGGCGAGGACCGGAUAGUGGCGUAGGGAAGGGAGGGCGUGAGGAGCGCUUGGCUGCUGUACGUUCAGAGGAGCGCGGGCACCCCAGGAGUCCAGCCUUCAAAGUUUGAGAGGAGAGGAGUCGGGGGUUUAGAAGGUGGGCGCGAUGUUGGAGCCGGGAACCCUCCCUCGGAGCCCCUGGCCCGAGUUGCGCAGAGCCUGCGGCAACAGGUAUCCCCGAGGGGUGGGUGGACCCUAAACCGGCCUUCGUCCGGCGCCUUCGCAGGCUUUCCAAAGGGACCCAGGGGGUUGGGGGCGGGGUUCCUAUCACUUGAGUCCUUGUGACUUGUUUUGGCGUGUUGGGUGGUGGAGGGUGAAUCCGAGUUUGAGGAUCAGGAUGGAGAGGCUGGCGCGCCCCACCUCCGAUUGUGCCACCCGAAAGUGUCCGAGCGCCUCGCGGGACUGCGUCGAGGGAAACAGUGUCCCUUGAAAGUGCGACGGAGGGGAGAAGGAGGUGUGAUUAAUAUGAGCAUCUGGGAGCGUGGAGCAGGGCCUGCAGUACUUCCUACCACUGGCCUUCCGUGUUCUGGAUCAUUCUUACUGGAUCUAUCAGCAAACAGCAUGCAAGUGCCAGCGUCCAAUCAUUCCUGCAUGGAAUGCCAUCAGACUUCCUCAGUUGGAGUUACUUAAAAGUUAAAUUGUUGGGAUUUUUGAUAAUGCCUUUCCCAUGUGGAUUACUACAAUUUGAUGGCUCAGGAACUCUCCACUCAGAAGGUGACCUGACCGCAGAAGUGCUAACUCCUGUUUAUUCAGGAAAGACUUCCGACUGGGGAAGACUUCCAGGUGUGAAUCAUGAGAGAGCGGAGAGGCCUGUGAUUUACGUUUUGGAGGGCAUGCCUGAGUGUGAUUAAGGGAUUUAAGUGCAGGACUCUAAGAUUUACUUCCUUCCUGUUCCAGCAGGGUUACCUGAAGGAGUGCAGCAUUUCUGGUUCCUUCGAGAGGGUGAGGAGAGCCUGCAGGCAUGCUGUGCACCUCUGCAAUUGCUAGUCCCAGGGUCACAGCAAGUGGAAGUGCAGAGCACCACAAACUGCUUUGAGCAGAGCCCACUUCCUUCAUCCCGGAGAGCAUGGAGCCGUUACACCAACAUCAAUCAAGGGGGACCCAGGCGCUGCACUCACACAGUUGAAGCAGGGGAGCAAAUCGAAGACUCACCCAGGAGCAGAGUGCUUUUGAGACAGAGGAAGAAGACAAAACAGCUCCCAGCUCAGCUUCUCUUGCCAUAUUCAGGAAUCACCACACGUGCUGUUAUAUUGGGCCUCAUUUUGUUUCCCUUUCCCCAACACCUGUGUGCUGUGCUUGUGGUGAGUCUUCACAGCCAAGUACAAUUUUUCCAGUUCAACUCCACUGAUCACUAUCAACAAGAAAGUGUAAGAGCUCAGAAGUCAUCUUGGAGGCCCCAGGCGAAGACCAGUCCUGCAACCUUGGAAGGCAGCUAUGGUCACCACUAUACCACCAACGCCACACCAGUCAUGCAACCUUGGGAUGUGCAGGGUUUGGGCAGCCAAGGCUUGCUGCACUAACCCUUUGCUGCAUGUGUUUCAACAGUGCCAUUUACUUGAUGAAUGUCUCUUUUCCGGCAGAUGACAUGAGAACAGUGCUUGUAACUGUUUCUGCUCAGCAUGAUAUUCAGAACCCUUAACAUGGUUACUGACAUACAGGAGGUGUCUGUAUUUGUUGAAUAAAUGAAUAAAGGAGUAAUGUCUACUUUCUGUUGUCAUUAUUUCCUUUCAUAAUAUACCAUAUUCCAUGUCUUUUUGCCCAUCCCCAUCUCUUUCAUGCAUUGUUUCUUAAUUAUGGAUCUUGAUAUGUGACUUAUCCCUAAAGUUAUUUUGUGCUACUGAAUAACAUGUUGUAAGUACAUAAAAUAUUAUAUUAUAUUCCUCUACCUUUCAAUUACAUUCUUAUACUGCCAGGUAUUAUAUUAUCCCAAUAUAAAUACUUUUUAAGUGGCAAAUGUUUUUUGGUUUUUUUUUAAGUGGC
rnacentral:lncRNA from 1 species